AACGAACGCUGGCGGCAUGCCUAACACAUGCAAGUCGAACGAUCCCUUCGGGGAUAGUGGCGCACGGGUGCGUAACGCGUGGGAAUCUGCCCCUGGGUUCGGAAUAACAGUUAGAAAUGACUGCUAAUACCGGAUGAAGUCUUCGGACCAAAGAUUUAUCGCCCAGGGAUGAGCCCGCGUAGGAUUAGGUAGUUGGUGAGGUAAAGGCUCACCAAGCCGACGAUCCUUAGCUGGUCUGAGAGGAUGAUCAGCCACACUGGGACUGAGACACGGCCCAGACUCCUACGGGAGGCAGCAGUGGGGAAUAUUGGACAAUGGGCGCAAGCCUGAUCCAGCAAUGCCGCGUGAGUGAUGAAGGCCUUCGGGUCGUAAAGCUCUUUUACCCGGGAUGAUAAUGACAGUACCGGGAGAAUAAGCUCCGGCUAACUCCGUGCCAGCAGCCGCAGUAAUAC
rnacentral:rRNA from 1 species